GUUCGGAUUGAAGGCUGAAAUUCGCCUUCAUGAAGCUGGAAUUGCUAGUAAUGGCAGGUCAGCAUACUGCCGUGAAUACGUUCCCGGGCCUUGUACACACCGCCCGUCACACCAUGAGAGUUGGCAACACCCGAAGUCGGUAGUCUAACCGCAAGGAGGACGCCGCCGAAGGUGGGGUUGAUGAUUAGGGUUAAGUCGUAACAAGGUAUC
rnacentral:rRNA from 1 species